rnacentral:piRNA from 1 species
UGGGAAGUUUUGAGGUAGGGCCCUUGC